GAGCGCCGCCGCCGAGUGUCGCCUCGGGAGCCGCGGAGGUCCGGGCGCCGGGUGGUGAGGGGCGUGCAGGGCUCGGCGGCGCCGUGGGGGUCUUCCGCCGCCGCGCGAGGUGGUUCCCGGGACUCCAGACUAAAAAGUCAGACCAGUGCUGGACGAGGUGGCGCACGCCUUUAAUCCCAGCGCUCGGGGAGGCAGAGGCAGGAGGAUCUCUGUGAGUUCGAGGCCAGCCUAGUCUACAGCGCGAGUUCCAGGACAGCCAGGGCUGUUACACAGAGAAACCCUGUCCCGAAAAACCAAAACUUAAUAAAAAAAAAAAAAUCAA